rnacentral:rRNA from 1 species
AUGGAGGAGGAGCACAGCGGCGGGGUGCGGCGGAGGUGGCUCGUCGACGUCGCCCGCUGGCGCCCCUCCCCGACGCAGUUCCAAGCCGCGGCUGCCCUCCUGCCGCCGCACCACCGCCAUGCCAUCGCCAGGUUCGUCAAGGAGGAAGACAGGAAACGAGCGCUCAUCAGCCGGCUGCUCCAGCACUCGCUUGUGCACCGUGUUCUUGGCAUCCCAUUCCACCAAAUUCACAUAUGCCGAACAACUGAAGGGAAGCCGUAUCUGAAGAAUAGCCCUCCGGCCUUCAGAAACUUUAAUUUCAACACAUCGCAUCAGGGUGACUACGUAGGCAUAGCAUCAGAGCUGCUUUGCCUUGUUGGCCUUGAUAUUGUGUGUAUCUCUAAGCCUCAGGGAGAAACCACCGUGGAAUUCCUUAAGAAUUUCUCUUCAUACCUCACAGACCAUGAGUGGAACUGCAUUGGUCGCGCUGCCGGUUCCAUUGAGAUGUUAUCAGAGUUCUACAGGUACUGGUGUCUCAAAGAAGCAUUUGUUAAAGCUGUAGGCGCUGGGGUUGGAUUUGGGCUGCAUCGCUUGGAAUUCCACCAUGUUGAAUGGAGUAACAUCUCUGUCUACAUUGACGGGAUAGAGUCUAGGAAAUGGAGGUUCUGCCUUUUCAAGCUUGAUGAAAUACAUUUGGCGUCCAUAGCGAAAGGGCAUCCGGAGGAUGCUAUACACAGCUUCAAGACAACAUUGUCUAAUGUGGUUGUUGAGGAUGAAGAAUUUUAUGCUGCACUAGAGAUCCCAGAAGAAACUGUCACGCUACAGACAGUGGAGCAACUUACACAAUUAUAA